UACGUAGGGUGCAAGCGUUGCUCGGAUUGACUGGGCGUAAAGGGCGCGUAGGCGGUUUGCAUAGUCAGACGUGAAAUUCCUGGGCUUAACCUGGGGGCUGCGUUUGAUACAUGCAGGCUUGAGUUCGGAAGAGGGUCGUGGAAUUCCCAGUGUAGAGGUGAAAUUCGUAGAUAUCGGGAGGAACACCUGUGGCGAAAGCGGCUCACUGGACCAUAACUGACGCUGAUGCACGAAAGCUGGGGGGAGCAAACAGG
rnacentral:rRNA from 1 species